rnacentral:rRNA from 1 species
AAGAAUACCAAUUGCGAAGGCAGCUUUCUGGAUCAUUACUGACACUGAGGAACGAAAGCAUGGGUAGCGAAGAGGAUUAGAUACCCUCGUAGUCCAUGCCGUAAACGAUGUGUGUUAGACGUUGGAAAUUUAUUUUCAGUGUCGCAGCGAAAGCAAUAAACACACCGCCUGGGGAGUACGACCGCAAGGUUAAAACUCAAAUGAAUUGACGGGGACCCGCACAAGUAGUGGAGCAUGUGGUUUAAUUCGAAGAUACGCGCAGAACCUUACCAACACUUGACAUGUUCGUCGCGACUCUGAGAGAUCAGAGUUUUCGGUUCGGCCGGACGAAACACAGGUGCUGCAUGGCUGUCGUCAGCUCGUGUCGUGAGAUGUUGGGUUAAGUCCCGCAACGAGCGCAACCCUCACUUUUAGUUGCCAUCAUUAAGUUGGGCACUCUGAAAGAACUGCCAGUGAUAAGCUGGAGGAAGGUGGGGAUGACGUCAAGUCCUCAUGGCCCUUACGUGUUGGGCUACACACGUGCUACAAUGGUAUCUACAACAGGAAGCAAAACUGCGAGGUUAAGCAAAUCCUCAAAAGAUACCUCAGUUCGGAUUGCACUCUGCAACUCGAGUGCAUGAAGCUGGAAUUACUAGUAAUCGUGGAUCAGCGUGCCACGGUGAAUGCGUUCCCGGGUCUUGUACACACCGCCCGUCACACCAUGGGAGUUGGUUCUACCUUAAGGCAAGGUUUAAAACCCUUGACCACGGUAUAGUCAGCGACUGGGGUGAAGUCGUAACAAGGU